rnacentral:rRNA from 1 species
GCCAGACUCCUACGGGAGGCAGCAGUGAGGAAUAUUGGUCAAUGGGCUUACGCCUGAACCAGCCAAGUCGCGUGAGGGAAGACUGCCCUAUGGGUUGUAAACCUCUUUUGUCAGGGAACAAAGGCGGGGACGUGUCCCCGGAUGAGUGUACCUGAAGAAGAAGCAUCGGCUAACUCCGUGCCAGCAGCCGCGGUAAUACGGAGGAUGCGAGCGUUAUCCGGAUUUAUUGGGUUUAAAGGGUGCGUAGGCGGGCUGUUAAGUCAGCGGUCAAAUGUCGGGGCUCAACCCCGGCCUGCCGUUGAAACUGGCGGGCUGGAGUUGGAGAGAAGUACGCGGAAUGCGCGGUGUAGCGGUGAAAUGCUUAGAUAUCGCGCAGAACCCCGAUUGCGAAGGCAGCGUACCGGCUCCACACUGACGCUGAGGCACGAAAGCGUGGGUAUCGAACAGGAUUAGAUACCCGGGUAC